AAAAAUAAAAGUAUAACAUAUUUGAGAGAUGCACAAUUAGGUUCUCUAUCAUGGUUAUUUUUAAAGGUAAUACCUAAAAAUAUAUGAGAAAUAGGGAAUAUGGUUGGAUAAACAUGUUAUUUAUAAAAAGACAAUUUAUGACAAAAGAAUUGUACAUACGAUACUAGACAGAGUGCUCGACGUGCAGUAGUUGGAACUCGGUGUACGGGGUGAGUAGGUCAGCUCGGCUAUUGGGUUUAGGGUGCAGGUCAUGAGUUUGACCCAGAUUUAUUGGUAAGCUCGUUGUGGUACAAUUAAAUAACUUUUUUAUACCUUAGUAUAAGGCUACUAGUAAAGAGUAUUUUUGAACCUAGGGGUACGUAUAAUACAUAUGGAGCCUAGGUCAAGUAAAUGUUUCUUUUAACUUAAGUACGUGUGUUCUAGGACACAUAGUGGUUAAGUUGCAUGCAUGACAAAAGAUAAUGUUGCACCAUGAGUAGGGUGUCCACGUAAACAUAAUGUUCCCCUGAUGUUGGCGCAUAAGAUGGUGUCCUGCUGGCAUGUGGUUGUUCUGUUAUUAUUUUAUACUCUCCUUAAAGAUAAGAUUCCUUUCUGUUGUAGCACCUUGAGAGAAGGUGCCCAUAAACAGAAUGUUUUCCUAUUGGGUAUGCUUUCAGUUGAGAUUAGAUUCUCACGAGAAAAAGUUGUUACAAAGAAUAGUUAUAAAAGGGGCUUGAGACCCCAGGUAAAGGAAAGUUAUUUUUGAGACUGAAACUGAAUACUUCUUAAAUUCUAGUAAGCCCUUAUUGACUUGAUCGUUGGAGUGUAUCAACAGGUAGGACCCCCUCUGUUUCAGCGGAGCUGCGUUCCAGUGCAACAAAAUGUAGAACAUAUUCCAGGAGAGGCAGACCGAGGCUAGAGCUUAUCGCCAAGGUCAACCGAUGAAGAAGUCAACCAGCAACAGCACAUACCAAUUGACUUGUAGAAUUCAAGC
rnacentral:lncRNA from 1 species